UUUCCGUAGGUGAACCUGCGGAAGGAUCAUUACAGAGUUCAUGCCCUCACGGGUAGAUCUCCCACCCUUGAAUAUUUAUACCUUAGUUGCUUUGGCAGGCCGUGGAAACACCAUGGGCUCCGGCUUAUGCGUGCCUGCCAGAGGAAACAAACUCUGUUUUUAGUGAUGUCUGAGUACUAUAUACUAGUUAAAACUUUCAACAACGGAUCUCUUGGUUCUC
rnacentral:misc_RNA from 1 species